GCAAGUCGAACGGUAAGGCCCUGCUUGCAGGGUACACGAGUGGCGGACGGGUGCGGAACGCGUACGGAACUUACCCUUUACUGGAGGAUAGCCCUGGGAAACUGGGAUUAAUACUCCAUAAUAUAUUAGAAAGGCAUCUUUUUAAUAUUAAAACUCCGGUGGUAAAGGAUAGUCGUGCGUCCCAUUAGCUUGUUGGUGAGGUAAAAGCUCACCAAGGCUGCGAUGGGUAGCUGGCGUGAGAGCGUGACC
rnacentral:rRNA from 1 species